rnacentral:rRNA from 1 species
AGGACGAACGCUGGCGGCGUGCUUAACACAUGCAAGUCGAGCGGAAAGGCCCUUCGGGGUACUCGAGCGGCGAACGGGUGAGUAACACGUGAGCAGCCUGCCCUUAGCUUCGGGAUAGCUCCGGGAAACCGGAUUAAUACCGAAUAUGACUUUGGCUGACAUCAGCAGAAGUGGAAAGUUUUUCGGCUAGGGAUGGACUCGCGGCCUAUCAGCUAGUUGGUGAGGUAACGGCCCACCAAGGCGACGACGGGUA